GGAGACUGAGGGAAACUCUGUCUGACCUAAAAUGGCCUCAGCUGCUGACGCCUUCUCUGCUCCUCUCCUCCCACACAGAACCAGGUUCACAGCUGGUCUGAUGUGUUCAGACUGUGGUCUGAUGGUCUCGUCACUGAAGUACAAUCCUGACUGUAGGUGUUGAAACAGAUGGUGCUGAAAAAGAAGGGGUGGAGCACAUUAGGGUUGAUGGCAACAGGUAGGUGAUGCCAAAUUCAAACACUACACCACAGCUUGCAGUUUGAUCACCUAUAGCAGUAGGUAUCAACCUUUCUUGGGGGCCAGCACCCUUCAUCUAGUGUCCAGGUCCUUAAUUGCCCCCAUCAGAUAAUGUGUUUGGUAAUAUGUUACGGCGAAUGACUUCCCUGAAACUGAUUUGGUUUGAAAGAUGACAGCCAAACAUUAUCAUACUUGGCAAGUUGCUCAACCACAAAGUGAUUGUGAUUAGCCACUUCACAAAAGUGCUCAUUGCAGUGCUUGUUCUUGCGUGAUUUCGACUCCAACAAACAAACUUAAGGCAAAACAUCUCGAUCGCAUGUGUAGCAUGAGAUCUGUGUCAAAUGUAUUUGUCUCAUGCUCAAUGUGUAAGAGUUGGCAGCUGUCACAUACACAUAGAAAAGAAGAGCAUAGAUGUUUGAUUGUGGCAUAAUGAUAACAGCCCUGUCAUUCCAUUAAAGUUGGACUGUUCAGUCGGACACACCAGAAGAUCUAAACUCAACUGAGUGCACUGUUGUUGUUUCAGAAUGGGACAGAUGAACAACCAGAAAACAUAAUGCCUCUGGCCAUGGCUACUGCAGGCAUGGAGGCUGUGAAAAUAUUUCAGCCCUAUGAAAAGAUAACACCAUCAACUGAAGAACUCUGACUGAAUGUUCAAAUCUGAUCAGGGAUGACUUCUGCUCAUCACCACAUUGUUAAAGUAGCUCUCGUACUUACCAGCAGCCUUGACAGGACCCAAGUCUAUAUGGAGUCCAUCUCCUUGUGUUGUGCCUUGAGGACCACCAGGCAUCCUUCCAUGGAACCUGGACUCUCCUCUCUGGGUGGUGCUAUCAGAACCAGUGAAUGAUCAAAUGAUUUAUCACUGAAGUUUUCAAGGAUUGACUGCAGCCUCCGUUUGUUUUGCUCAGUGAAGACUUCAGGCUGUAGAACCAGCAGGAACACAUGAGGACCAGGAGCAGAGAAUCUCACACAGCUUUGUGGUUCUCCCUCGGUGGCAAACGCAGUCACUCCCAGUAUGAAGUUCCCCACUGAACUCCUCUGAGACCAGCUGUUCCCCAGCAGAACCACCCUCAGCUCAGACACUGGAAUGACAAUUACUUAAAUCACUGAAUCAACUCUAUCAACUAAUAUCAUGUGAUAACAGAUCUGUUGUACAGUUUACAUUAAUAUCAUUCCUGCACCCUUAGAUGGAUCAUCCAUCAGACAAAGUGAAUUCUAAAUAAACACAAGAAUAAUUCUGACUCA